GCAAUCUACAAAAAGAAAAACAAAAAAAUCGGAAACCAAUUUUAAAUAUGAAAUUAGAAUAUAGGCUUAUCACAAGUUGCAACAGAUAGUUACAUCCGAUGAAAAGACCAACUAACAAGCAUUUAAAGCUUCACAUUGUACUCGUUUAGCAACAAGAGCCUCGUUGCCCAGGAAGCCCAGGAGUGUAAUAGACCUAGUUCUUGGAAACAGGAGUCCACCCAUGUGUCGUCUAUUCGACAUCGUUCAACGUCAUCGCCCAAAGCAACGUCGUCCUCGUCCCGCUUAGGAUAAGAACAGAAGCGAAGGAUAACAGACAAAUUGGACACAGCAAACUAUGGGAACGAAAUCCGUGUAACCUUGACGAAUAAUGACCAAGACGAAGCCCUGGGACGAAUGGAUCAAUAAAUUUGACGGCCAUCCGCAAGACCCAUGUUUUGAAAAAGGUUAGACAAACGGAAAUUCGAGGGUCGCUACAUUGAAAACGCUCAAUUUUUACGACUUUUUGUGCCAAUAAAAAGCAAUCAGUGAUCGUUUUAGUGCAGCUAUGAUCGUCGGUAAUUGAACAAUCUCAAUGUACAAACCAUUGAAGAUGGCAUCCAAUUUAAUCAUGUCUAGUUGACACGACAUGUGCAAGCACAUAUCUGCUGGAGACAGAGCGUCAUCAAAGAAACCAGCAACAGAAAGCCCGAAAAGACUGCAAUAUCACCGUUUUCUAAGAACUCCAAUUCAAUUAUACUUUUCGUCUUUCUGAUUCUGAAUGGCAUAGCUGAUAUUCUUUGUUAAACUAGAAUAACUCUCUAAA